CAGUCGCCACGGGAAUACAGAGGGUGCAAGCGUUAAUCGGAAUUACUGGGCGUAAAGCGCGCGUAGGUGGUUUGUUAAGUUGGAUGUGAAAUCCCCGGGCUCAACCUGGGAACUGCAUCCAAAACUGGCAAGCUAGAGUAUGGUAGAGGGUGGUGGAAUUUCCUGUGUAGCGGUGAAAUGCGUAGAUAUAGGAAGGAACACCAGUGGCAAAGGCGACCACCUGGACUGAUACUGACACUGAGGUGCGAAAGCGUGGGGAGCAAACAGGAUUAGAUACCCCGGUAGUCCCUGUCUCUUAUAC
rnacentral:rRNA from 1 species